rnacentral:rRNA from 2 species
GGACUACAGGGGUAUCUAAUCCCGUUCGCUCCCCUGGCUUUCGCGCCUCAGCGUCAGAAGAGGUCCAGCAGGUCGCUUUCGCCACCGGCGUUCCUUCCGAUAUCUACGCAUUUCACCGCUCCACCGGAAGUUCCACCUGCCCCUACCUCACUCAAGACCCCCAGUAUCCAAGGCACGUUUCCGGUUGAGCCGAAAGAUUUCACCCCGGACUUGGGAAUCCGCCUACGCGCCCUUUAAGCCCAGUGAAUCCGAACAACGUUCGCACGGUUCGUCUUACCGCGGCGGCUGGCAC